rnacentral:misc_RNA from 1 species
UACGAAGGGGGCCAGCGUUGUUCGGAAUUACUGGGCGUAAAGCGCAUGCAGGCGGAUCGCUAAGCCGGGGGUGAAAGCCCGAGGCUCAACCUCGGAACUGCCUUCGAUACUGGCGAUCUCGAGUCCGGGAGAGGUGAGUGGAACUCCGAGUGUAGAGGUGAAAUUCGUAGAUAUUCGGAAGAACACCAGUGGCGAAGGCGGCUCACUGGCCCGGUGCUGACGCUGAGAUGCGAGAGCGUGGGGAGCAAACCGG